rnacentral:misc_RNA from 1 species
UCCCCGUUUAUCGAGGCAGUCUCACGCGACACUUGUAACGCGUGAUAAGGGUUGCGUUCGUUACCCCACUUAAGGGAACAACUCAAGCCACGAACUGACGACAGCCAUGCAGCACCUGUGAAUUUGUCCUUGUGAGAAGGUAAUCCUUUCGGACACCGUCAAAUCCAUUUCAAGCCCUGGUAAGGUUCUUCGUUUACCGUCGAAUUGAACCACAUGCUCCACCGCUUGUGCGAGUCCCCGUCUAUUCCUUUGAGUUUUAAUCUUGCGAUCGUACUUCCCAGGCGGCACGCUUAACGCGUUAGCUUACGACUCUCGAAGGGUCGAUACUUCGAAUGUCUAGCGUGCAUCGUUUAGGGCGUGGACUA